AUCUGUAAAAUGGUAAAACGGGGAUUUUAACUGCCACCUUCAUCAGGUUGUUAUGAGGCAUAAGACAGUAUGUGUAACUGCUUAGAACAGAGUCUGUGCCUUUGUGAGCUGUUAUGUUUAUAACCGCUAAUGUGUGAUUUGCUCAAGGUUAUGCGGCUAAAUUGAGGCAGGGCGUAACGAGAGAGACAGGGAGGCGGAUGCGACGCCUUCUACGUUGGCCGCCAGAAGGAGCCUGCCGGCCGUGGAACCCACUGAGGCCCCGUUAGAGCCAUGAGCCUCGGGGAAAACAGCCUUGCCACCCCAAGAAGGGGGAGGACUCCCCAAGGGUUAAAAGACUCACAUUCCCAAAGUCACCCGAAGGUCCUUCUUAUCAUAUGAUCUGGCAAACAGCUGCCUUUACUGGAGGCAGUUGCACAGUUAGGUGCUAAAGGUCUCCGUGGUAAACGCAUCAUGUACGGCGUGAAGUCACAUGUGCCUUUCCGAGAGCCAAGAUCUCGCAAAGGUAUGAAAACAAGAACAAAACAAACCUUCCCGUGGAGGCACAGAAAAGAUCCAAUCAGCUCCUCGUUUCUGGCCAGCCUGCGGUUCGGAAAUAGGGAGAGUGUUCUCCAACAAACACACAACAACAGCAGAUAGCCAGAGAACAAACAAGAAAAACAGCAAACGGAAAUGUCACACACAUUCAGAGACCUGUUUGUUUCGCUGGAAUAUUCUACUGACGGUUACAUAAAGGAGGAGGGGAGCACAAAGGAUCCAGGUGGAGAACCUGAAAAAAAGAAGAAGAAAAAAAAAACCAACUUGUUUUGGUCUGAUGUGGGGAGAAGUUUGAAACGUUUGGGAGAGCGCGUCCUAGAGAAAAGACCAGGAAAAGUGGAAGAAUGCUGAAUGUGUUCCGUAAUGACCACAUGGCACUCACUACACAGGAAUUCAGGGCUCCGGCAGAGCGACGAAAAGAGUGGGGCAGUUAAGCAGAUCUGCCUGGUUUACUUGGCACAAACCAUAAAAAGAAAUCAGUAUCUCUCUCCACCUUCUGGAGCCUCCAAAGUCCCCUCCUGGCUGCGGCGGUCAGGCCGAGCCUGGGGGCCCCAGUGGUGAGCCUGUAGAAGGCUGUCCAGCUCCAGUCCUCCCGGGGCCUGUCCAUCAAGCUCGGAAUGAACCGAACCUUCUCACCGAGACUUGCAACACCCACACGCUUUGCUUUUCCAGGAACCCACCCCUGUCUGUCUAUCAGAGUCUCAUCAGCCUCUCUGCCCGGCAGGCAGCCUCCGGGAGGUCAGGACUUUAUCUGCACGCCUGCAGCACCAACAGGGCCCGGUGUUGGGGAACUGUCGUCAAAGAUCAGUCUCCUGCCAACCCAGAGAAGCCUCUCCACAAAGCUACCUUCUACACAGCGAUGAUUAAGGCUGCAGAUGGCGGUUGGCCAUUACCUCUCAGCCUCUCCUCUCUGGGCUGGCGGAGGGCAGAACGGAGUUUUCCCGCUUACAUCACAUCCUCAGCCUUCCUGGCGCUGCCUUUUUAACGUUUAUUUAUUUUUGAGAGACAGAGAGACGGAGCACCAAAGCGGGCCCCGGGCUCCUAGCUGUCCGCACGGAGCCCGACGCGGGGCUCGAACCCACGAACCGUGAGAUCAUGACCCGAACCGAAGUCCGACGCUGAACCGACCGAGCCACGCAGGCGCCCCCCCCCCCCCCCCCCCCACUGGCACUGUCUUUUGUGCUGUCCGUGUCCCACGUUUUCUGGGGGCCUCGCUGGCCAUGUUGGGAGCACUGCCCGGGAAACCUUUUUGUGCUCAGGCUGGUCAACCCUGCCCCGUGCCCCCAGGGAAGGCCCUGUGUGUGUUGCCCUACGGUGACCUCUCAGCAAGUGUGAAAUAAACAAACGCUCUCA